GAUGAACGCUGGCGGCGUGCCUAAUACAUACAAGUCGAGCGAACAGACGAGGAGCUUGCUCCUCUGACGUUAGCGGCGGACGGGUGAGUAACACGUGGAUAACCUACCUAUAAGACUGGGAUAACUUCGGGAAACCGGAGCUAAUACCGGAUAAUAUAUUGAACCGCAUGGUUCAAUAGUGAAAGACGGUUUUGCUGUCACUUAUAGAUGGAUCCGCGCCGCAUUAGCUAGUUGGUAAGGUAACGGCUUACCAAGGCAACGAUGCGUAGCCGACCUGAGAGGGUGAUCGGCCACACUGGAACUGAGACACGGUCCAGACUCCUACGGGAGGCAGCAGUAGGGAAUCUUCCGCAAUGGGCGAAAGCCUGACGGAGCAACGCCGCGUGAGUGAUGAAGGUCUUCGGAUCGUAAAACUCUGUUAUUAGGGAAGAACAAAUGUGUAAGUAACUAUGCACGUCUUGACGGUACCUAAGCAGAAAGCCACGGCUAACUACGU
rnacentral:rRNA from 1 species